ACUGAAACAAGAGGUGAAAAAGGCAUUAAUGCCCUAUGAGAGGGACAGGGAAGAAGAUUAUGAUCAUGUUGGCGUGGAAAAACAGCUUAGCAAGGAUGUGAAACAAGAGCAUCAGCAGCUCAGCAAGGCACUGAUGCCUUAUGAGAGUGAAGAGGAAGAGGAUGAUUAGGCUUUCUCUGAGGAUCAAAGUUAGCUGCAGACUCCAUCUCCUUCAAGUUUGAUUAGACUUUUCUUUGACCAUUCAAAACAAAGUUAGCUGCAGACUUUUCUUUGCAGUACUUGUGAUGCUCUCUGCAAAACAAAUGUUUACUUGGAGAAAAGCUAUACACUAAUGGAAAUAAAUAAACGUUUGGGUGAGAUAAUGAAUGUGGUUUUUAAUAGGCUAGAUCUCUUCUUUGCUUCUUCCUUGUUUUGAGCUUCUUCAAAUCUUGCAAACUUUCUUUAUGGUUGGUGAUUUGUUAUUCGUACCAGAUCUUUUCUUCUAGAAAGUGGUGUAUUUCUGUAGUUCUUUCAGCAGAUGUUCUUGGUGUUAUAUAUUCUAAGAAACUGAUCAUUUCUUGUCA